rnacentral:rRNA from 1 species
CUGCCUGAGCUCAUCAUUGACGCCGAUGAUUUCUUAUCUUUACCGCACCCAAAGGAAAAAAGUAUUGAGGCUAAGGUCAUCCAAGAUGCGAUGCUCACUCUAACCCAAGCGUCAAGGAGUUUAUUUGCUAAACCUAAGGGAGAAUACGCUGUUGUAGAGCUGCAACUUGAGCUCUACUUGAUCGACACUUUCUUAUGCGAUAUUGGCCCACUGCUUUGUGAUGCAAUUGACCGUGGUCUGCUGAAACAUUUAUGCCUUGCCAUUCUCGACGAGGAGGCACCUUGGGAACGUUCUCAGCCAGAUGAAAUAAAGUGUACCCAGGAUAUUGAUGGAUUUUUCCGUGCCUACCCCAGUGUCUUCCAUUGCCUCACAAAGCUCUCUCUGCACAGUUUGGUUUUUGAUGGAUUGGACAUUCACCAUGUCCUUUUUGACUGCUGCAAGCAGCUGAAGCAUUUAGCGCUCUCUUUUUGUGAUGUUGGUCAUUACUGCGCUCCAUGGAAGAUAGAUGCGCCAAACUCAAAACUCUGUGUUCUAGAGGUGGACCGGUGUUGCUUUGAGAGAAUUGAGUUGAUAUCUCUUCCUAAACUGGAGGAGGUCAGUUGGCAUGGUUGGGUAUCUAACUGUGCCCCCUUUUCCUUUGGUUUUGUCCCAUCCCUUGAGGAAUUGGGCCUAUCGAAUUUGUUGCUCUAUGAUCAUCAUUUACUUAAAUUAAGUGAGCUUCUACAUGGAGGAGCAUGCAUACGCACUCUUACAUUGGAUUUCAAAGGAAACGCAAUUUGGGUAACACGUGAAAUCAAACAACUCGCCUACGCAUUCAGAAAGCUAAGGAAGCUGGUCAUACUAGGUAUAUUUGUUGAAUUUGACCUUCUAUGGACUACAACCUUUCUUGAGGCUGCUCCCUCUAUUGAAAUGUUGCAUAUUGCGGUUUGUGAACAUGCAUGUGAGUUUGGUGAUAUCGAGAGCGGGACUGGGAACUUUGCUGAAAGAACUAAUCCUCAGUGGGAGCUGGUCUUCCGCGGCUCCAAAAACUUGCUACUCAGAGAGGUGCACAUCGCCUACUUUAGGCCGCUAGAGCAGCAGCUGACAUUUAUCAAAGCAGUCCUGGAGCGAGCUCCCAAUGUGCAGACAUUCAUUCUGAACAAAGAUGGCGAGAGAUGCAGCGAAUGUGAUGCAAUGGCCCUCGAUGUGCCACCAAGUGUGUCAGGCUCGGCCUGCGUUUCCAAGGAACAAGGAGGAGCAAGACAUGGUGGUCAGACAGGUCACAGACGGCAUCUCCUUCUCUGGCAAGAUAAUUUUCCAGUG